AACAAAUAACGCAUUGUCAUUUAUUCCUUAAUGAAAGCUAGAGGAUUUUAUGAUUUGUUUUCUUUUCCAAAAACUAACUGUCCAGAUAGACGCUCUGGGUGUGUUGGGAGUUUGUAAUGUUGAUUUUCAUUUUUUUAAAAGCAUUAUUAGUACAAUUCAUAGACAGUAAAACCGGAAGCAGUACCAAUGGUGAAGACAUUAAUUUAUUUUCGUGUGUUGGAUGUACAGUGGUCAUUGAUUGUGCUCUAAACAAAAUAGUUAGCGAUCCUGUGUGGUCACGUAAUGGUAAAUCAAUUUUCAUACACGGCGAUAGACUACAAAUUGCGAAAGAAAACAAAUUGAAUUUGCAAAUAUCAGAUCUAGUUAAGUCAGACACUGCUAAAUACUGUUGUUUAGCGAUCACCAACAGAAACGUAUCUAAGGAGUACUGCACAUCGCUUGAGAUAAUUGAACUACAAAUCCUGCCGAAUGAAACAAUAGUUGGUACUAACGGUAGUAUUAUUAAUGUCACAUGUUCGAUUAAGAAUAAUAUUCCAGGAGCAAAGAACAUUUCGUGGAU